UACGUAGGGUGCGAGCGUUAAUCGGAAUUACUGGGCGUAAAGCGUGCGCAGGCGGUUUUGUAAGUCAGAUGUGAAAUCCCCGGGCUUAACCUGGGAAUGGCAUUUGGGACUGCAAGGCUGGAGUGUGGCAGAGGAGACUGGAAUUCCUGGUGUAGCAGUGAAAUGCGUAGAUAUCAGGAGGAACACCGGUGGCGAAGGCGGGUCUCUGGGCCGAUACUGACGCUGAGGAGCGAAAGCGUGGGGAGCGAACAGG
rnacentral:rRNA from 1 species